UUUCUUUUUGUGUGUCCG
rnacentral:misc_RNA from 1 species